rnacentral:lncRNA from 14 species
CCUGGGGCCAGACCAGUGACCAACACACUCACAGGGGUUUCCUGAACCACUUGGGUGCAUUGGCCUGAACAGGAGAACCCAGGGAAAGGCGAUAGGCAGCCGGAUGCUCCUCGCAUCAAACUUGCUUGUUUCUUGAUGCCCUGCAAGUUCUCAAAUCAGAACAUCAAUGCACAAACGCAGUCACACAAAAGACGAAAGCCGUGACCUGAAGCCUGGUAUGAAAACCAAAGGCGAUCCCACCAGCACAGCCUACUGACACAGCAACCCUUCCCCGCUACGCCAGCGUUGGGAACGGGGGAAAUGUGAAGAACGACUUCCUGCGUAUGAAAGAUCUUCUACCUGAACAUCUGCAGAUGAGAAUCAUAUGGUUGUGUAUGUAUGAGAUGAUUUUCUGCCUCACACAACCAUCAAAACAACUGAGGAAGACAGCAAAAGUGCUCCUCCUCGCAGCACACUGCAGUUUCUGCUUCUCAAUAUCACACACUGGGGUUGCAUAAAAUUAGCAUAAUAUAACCUU